GAUGAACGCUGGCGGCGCGCCUAACACAUGCAAGUCGAACGGUUAAAGCACCUUUUAGGUGUAUAUAAAGUGGCGAACGGCUGAGUAACACGUGGGCAACCUGCCCUCCUCUUGGGGAUAGCCUCGGGAAACCGAGGAUAAUACCCGAUACUUCAAUGUGGCCGCAUGACGACAUUGAGAAAGCUUUUGCGGAGAAGGAUGGGCCCGCGGCCUGUUAGCUUGUUGGUGGGGUAGAGGCCUACCAAGGCAAUGAUGGGUAGCUGGGUUGAGAGACCGACCAGCCAGAUUGGGACUGAGACACGGCCCAGACUCCUACGGGAGGCAGCAGUGGGGAAUCUUGCACAAUGGGCGAAAGCCUGAUGCAGCGACGCCGCGUGCGGGACGAAGGCCUUCGGGUUGUAAACCGCUUUCAGCAGGGACGAGGCGAUAAGGACGGUACC
rnacentral:rRNA from 2 species